CUGAAAUGUAGGAGAGACUCCAAAAUAACUAGGGCUUUGCUCGAUGAACUGUCAACACUGGCAUAAGCUGUAAUUGUGCUCACUGUCCACACCAGAGCUUGGGAUUUUUCUCAGUCUGUUGGCCACGUAUAUGGAGAGCUGACCAAAACUAAUUUUGUAAUAUAAACAUAAGCUGCACAUUUGGUUCAAUACUUACAUCUAUGUUAUGCUUCUGUGCAAAGCAAUUUCUCUCAGAAGUCUGAUAGCCAAAGAAAUGUCUCAAGGUUUCAGUCAAAGUACACACAGGCAUGAACACACCCAUAUACACCCACACAAAGAAACAGGCCACAAAGAAAGUGAUAGCGACCAAAUCAUUGUUAAGGGCCAUCGAGUAUCCGGUUAAUCUCAUCUUCUCUACUAUCUCUUUCAUCAAGUCUGUGAUGGCAGACUUGUGGGGGGAAGCAAUUGUUCUUUGGAUAGAUAAACAGAGCAGAAAAGUAACAGGUGAAUUUGAACAAUUGGAUUGGGGGCUGACUCUUGAGGAGGAAGGAAGUUUUAAGUGUCUCCACCAAAAGAAAAAUAUAGAGAAGUAGCUCAUAUGACACAUGAGAAUAGCUUUCACUUUUAGAACUAGAGGAUUAGUUCAUUUUUAAAAAUAACUUGCUCAAGAGAUUCUGAGGGCCAUGAUACCCUAAGAAGCCCAAAGAAUGUGCUGAGAAGUGAGGAGUGCUAUGCAGCUGAACACUUGGAACCUGCAACUAAUAUUUGCGCCAAGGUGUAUGUAGGUGUUCUGUCAAAGAAGCACACAAAAGAGAACUGUGAAUUUGCCUGCAGUCAAAAUGUAAAUAUUUAUGAGUGAUUCAUUAAUAAUCAUGUUCAUGUACUAUCUAGAGGUAAAUUGUGGGAGGGAAAAAGAGAAACCCCACCUCAAAUUGACCAAUGAAUUAAAAACACCAUCUCCUUCCUCAAAUGCACUCUCUUCCCCUAGGGGUUUCUAGUUUCUUCCGUGGGCUCCUUUACUGUCAUGUAACUGGGACAGUAUAAUUGUCCCCCUCAGAUGAUUCAUGCAGCAGGCAGAAAACUACCAACAAAGAGAAAAAAAAUCCUGAAAUUGGAACUAGUUGCUAGUAAAGGUGUUUCCAUUUCACCAAUCUGAUGCUAAUUGGACCACCACUAGCCUGUUCCAUGCCAACAACAUCAUGGUACCCAUUUCACCACCUCAAAAACUGCACAAAUACCAACAACACAGAAACCCAAAACUUUAUUGAUUAAAACAGAUUUUGUAUUCUCCUAGGACCUGUUCCAAAUUCCAUCAAGAAAAGCUCCCCAAGAAGAGAAGUUAACAAGAUAACAUAUGACGGAUGUUAAAUGUUUAAAAAUAUGCCGGCAGCAGUUACAUAAGGCCUGCUCAGUUCUGAGAUCUAUAAUUGGGAGGGUAUAACUAGGACAGUGAAAAUAUAAAAUAACAGUGAUCAUCCGGAGUAGAACAAAGAAGAAAUACAUUCAUCCCACAGUCGUAAAACCAUUCAUGUGCAGUGAUUUUUUUUUAUAGUUUUAUAAUUUUGUAUUGUUUUAUAAAUUAUUUAUAAGGUGUUGUAAUGCUUCUUAUAUUAAUUUUUUACAGAUAAAUUUUUUGCUACAAGGCAUAAAAAAAGGUGCCUGAACAGAUUCUUAGAAAUAUAAAUUAUACUAUGUAACUCAUAAGUCUUCGGGACCAUACUUAUUGUUUAAUUUUAUUAUGACAUUUCUUAUUUCUACUUGUAAACAACUUCAUACGCCAAUAACAUUUAAAUGUCUUUUAUGUUUCCAUGAACUGAAGGUUAAGGUUGUCACCAACGAAAAAAUAAAAGCCACUUUGGGCAUAUGUGAUUGUACUUCAAGCUUCGAUAUUUUUCUCACAUGUUUAAAUUAUUAUCAUCUUCAUUUUCUUCAUUAUUUGAUGAAAAAAAUGAUAAUGGAUACUAUAUUUUAUACUUGUUUGUGGGGGUUUUUUCUCUUUCACCCAAAAAAAAUUUUUUUGAACAGCUGAAGUUUCACUUGUAUUUACAAGGUUUUGGUUUCUUUGUGUUAUAAUCACACAGUACACACACAACACACACAACACAACACAAAAGAGAGAACAAAAAAAGCAAAAGGAGCUAGGAAAAAACAAAACAAAACAAGUAGAGGCAUAUCAAAGAACUCAAGCUAUAACCAAAAAGAAAUCGUAAAUUGCCUUUGCUCGUCUUCUCUACGCUGGACCAAAGUUCAAUAUUUGUAGGUAUAUGCACAUUGUAUAGAUACGGCUAAAUGUUGCUGACAAUCUCGCAAUACUAAACUGUUCCUAUUUUAAGAAAAAAAAAUACAAACUGUUCAUCAAUGUUUUACCUCAGCACUCUACUUGUACCCAGUUAAUGAUCAAGCUUAACAAAAAAUGGAGAAAAAGAAAAUUGAUUUUCAUUUUCAUGUUUGACUGUAAAAAUCUGUUUGGAUAACAUUUUGUAAUGACCUUUUUGUCAUGUGAUUUGCUCGUCUUCAACUUGAAAUUAU
rnacentral:lncRNA from 1 species